GCGAGUGACAGAGUGCAAAUCUGGACAAGCACCCAUAAGGUGCCGGGGCUU
rnacentral:tRNA from 1 species